UACGGGGGGAGCAAGCGUUGUUCGGAUUUAUUGGGCGUAAAGAGCUCGUAGGCGGCUCGUUGCGUCGGCUGUGAAAACCCGCAGCUCAACUGUGGGCUUGCAGCCGAUACGGGCGGGCUGGAGUUCGGUAGGGGAGACUGGAAUUCCUGGUGUAGCGGUGAAAUGCGCAGAUAUCAGGAGGAACACCGGUGGCGAAGGCGGGUCUCUGGGCCGAUACUGACGCUGAGGAGCGAAAGCGUGGGGAGCGAACAGG
rnacentral:rRNA from 1 species